rnacentral:rRNA from 1 species
UACGUAGGGAGCAAGCGUUGUCCGGAAUCAUUGGGCGUAAAGCGCGCGUAGGCGGCCCCGUAAGUCCGCUGUGAAAGUCAAAGGCUCAACCUUUGAAUGCCGAUGGAUACUGUCGGGCUAGAGUCCGGAAGAGGCGAGUGGAAUUCCUGGUGUAGCGGUGGAAUGCGCAGAUAUCAGGAGGAACACCAAUAGCGAAGGCAGCUUGCUGGGACGGUACUGACGCUGAGACGCGAAAGCGUGGGGAGCGAACCGG